rnacentral:lncRNA from 1 species
UUUAUACAUUUAAAUGUCAAACCACUCAGCCCGAAGAGGCACAGACUUCCGCCCCACCUCCCACCGCAGCCCCAGCCUCUCUACUGCCCACCUCUUCUUUUGAAUCUGCCCUCCGAGGGCCUGGCACAUUCUUUUCGUUAGCUUUAUCUUUUGAAGGUAGAUUUCAUUUUUAUGAAUAAUCCAAAGGCCCUCAGAGCCAUGACUUAUAAAUAAAAGAGGGAUUCAAACUAAUUACUGGCAUUGUUUUGGUUCCCCAAAAUGGAGUGUGACCAUAAAAUAAUGUCAUUAGAGUGUUUGCGUGGCCCCUAACUGCUUCUCAGAGAGAGUCCUAAAAAGGAGGACUUCGAAAGAUUCAGCCAUCAUUCAGAUGUUUAAAUCCUGACAUGUUUGUUCAAACAGCCUCUUUACUUAAUAAACACGCUUAAGAUAAACAUAGCAUGAGAUAGAGGAAGUUUUGCAAGCCCGGACCUCAUCAAAGCACAGAGACUUUCAGUAUGAACUGAGCUAUUAUCCCAAGUAAAGCCCAUGUAGAAAAACACGAGGUCAAAACCUUCUGAUGGCAAAAGUGCCUACAAUAUCCUAAUUGACAGCAAAGCUACCCCGAGAAAUGGUAACCCUAUGGAAGUUUAUGUAGAGACACAUAGCACUGUGACUCAGGAAGCUUCAAAUACAUCUUUGGAGCAGGCACAAGGCUACAGGUUUUACCAAGUGAGUAUUGCAACCAAGACAAUUUUAAAUGUUAUUGGUGUCUGACAGGCAAGGGCAGGUAAAAUAAGCGAAAUACUUGCUAUAAACCAUGGAAGCAAAAAUCACAGCUGUCUGAGGUGGCCAUUCUUGGCCCCUCUGCUCUGGUCAGGAGGGGUGAAGGAGAGCUUGGAGGUUCACUGGGAUCAACUUACCACCAGUUUCAUAAGAAUUAGACUAGUUACGAGAAAAUAUUUGUUAGGUAAAGAAAGACUUUGAGAGACUCCUCUGGACAGAGGAAUUUUUUUAAAACUGUGCUACUCUCAUUCCACAUUUUUCACUCACUUUACCUAUACUUCUUUGUCCAACUCAACACUUCAUCUAGACAUGCAUGUUUUGAGAAACCAUCAGGUCCACUUCUGAGCCUCUCUAGAAUCUGCACCCUUUCUGUUCUCCAAAUUCCCUUUCUCAAAUGCUCUGUUCUGGGCAAACUGGACACCUACUUCUCCUGCCUGCUUACACAUGCCCACACCUGUACCUGUGUCCAUAAAUCAGACACCGUGGACGAAGCACUGAAGACAGACUAGCAAUACGUGAAACAAAUUGUUACUCAGCCUCAAGACCCAGCACAGAUGUCACCAGAUUUAACUUUACAGGGAGAACUUGAGAAACUAUAUUCCUUUUUAAAAAUUAGGGAGGCUCAGAAACAAGACCAACUAAAUCCAAGUAGGAAGUUUAUGGGCUGCCAUAUUGCCUGCAUGUUCCUUGUUUUGCCUCUGCAGUGGUCCAUUCCCAAUUGUUGGUCAUUAAGCGCCUGGCCCUCCAGCUGGCCAGAGUUGGGGAAGAGGGAGAAGACCAUGCUGUAUAUUCGGCAGUGGUGCCCAUGGUAUUUCCUUCCAGACUUUCCUUCAAGCUACCUCAAAAUUAAGAGAUGUCCAAAAGGAUCACCUAGAUAGGAUGGAAGAAGUUUCCUGUAACAGAAUGAUUUCAGGUUAGUCCUUGAGUUGUGUUAUCUCCUGGGAAAGGGCCAGUGAGAAUGGAAAACUCUCCACUAGGACAAAGAAAGGAUGAAAAUCUUUAUCCUGGUGACCAUCUAAGCUGGGGAUGAACAGGUUUGCAGCUGGAAUUGGGGUGAACUCCAGAGCUGACCUAUGCCUGCAACUCUCUCUAGUUCUGCAGAAUAAGAAAAGGUAUUUAGAUGUUCCAGAGCCUGGACCUCGGUCAGAGGUGUCUGGCUCCAGCACCCUGAAGGGUGGCCCAACAUGCCAACCCCUCUUGCCAGGUGGGCAGUGGCAGCUGCCCUCAGUCUCCUCCAUCGUGGUGACAGUCUUUCUGACUGCUUUGUCUUUGGUGCCAUGGGCAUAAACUGUUCCUACUUUUCCAAAUCAAGUAUGUGAUCUUCAGGACCCCUGGAGCAUUAUUGUCUAAAACACCAGAGGAUAACUAGGGUUUUGGCAGUCAGUACUCUGGGCUUGUGCAGGAAAACUCCUUCUUUAGAACAUUUAGAAAGAAUAUCCUCCAUUCAUUCAAUGUGGAAACAGUCCUGAAAAUCCAAGCUGGUGCUAGGAUUCUGUGCCAGGUUAUUACUGUGCAAUUACUUAAUAUUCUCUGUGCUCACGGUAUCGCUUCUUCCAGAAGAUCUUUAGGGAAAACUUAGUUGGGUUUCUAGGAGGUUUUUGCUGAGCUGAAGAUCACUGUGUGAAUAAUAACGCAGGCAAGGCGUUUACAUUUGGAGGGGGAACAAGGUUAAUGGUCAAACCUGGUGAGUAUCUCUGCUGAAUCCAUAAUGAAUGCUCUGAUUUCUAAAGGAAGCCAGAGCACUGAGCUUCAUUUGGGGGUUGUUUUCUCCACUCAGUUUUUUUUUUUAAUGUUAAUUCUAAUCAUUAAUCCUAAUGAUUCUACGGUGUAUAUACGUGCCAUGCGUACAUGUGAAAACAGGCACAUAUGUAAUCAUCUGGCAUAGGAACAGAGGAGCUGGAGAAUAAUAGAUUCUUUGCCCUUUUUGUCUUAACCACUUGGGUCAGAAAGUCUGCAUUGAUCUCAGGAAUGGCUGAGCACUGGAGUGGGAGAACCGUAGCUUUGUCAGGAUUCUGCCACUCCUCGAUGGCCUGGGGAGGGGACAGCUCCGUCUGGAGGUUGGGGGAUAAGCUAUUUAACCUCAGAAGAGCCUUUCUGGCCCAACCAUGCUGUGCAUUGACCACGAUAAUAAACACUCUUCCCUGAUGCCUCUCUGGCCAGGGUCCCAGCCGGAGGAGCACGCUGGCUGGAUUUGGGGAUUGAAAGGGAUUUCCUGGUACACAUUGGCCUGGUCGGUUUCUGUAAAGCUUGCUAUGACUGUGUAAUAUUGGCAACAGCCGUAAGCUGAUUUGGGGAUUGGGGACAAGUCUGGCAGUAAAUCCAAGUGAGUACUCAAAUUAACUCUCUCCCUCAAACCUGUCUAUGCAGUUUGAAGUGUCUCAGGAACCGGCUUCUUUAGCCCUCAUGUUUAAUACGUGCAGCCAUGAGCAGUGUUUUUCUCCUCUCCACCCAAGCUGAGCUCCUGCCUACCCCUCAAUCAAAAUACCUAGAGAGGGGGGUCCAGAAGGGCAUGGUCGGAAGGCAGUUGGAAUGUGAGGCAGUCUUCUUAUAGAGCAAACAGGCGGCCCCUUCCAAAAAGAGCCAUUCAGGUUAGACGAGGUGAAAAUACGCAUCACGUAUCACAGCCUCCUUAGUCCAUCCUGUAUCAGCCUCCCCAUGCGCUGUUGGAAGAUCCUGCUCCCCUCCAGCCAAAGAUAACCCGAGCGCUGCUGGGAAGUGCUGGGACUUAGGGCCACCCAGUGACCUCCCUAAGGAACAUCUCCCCACCAUUAACUCUCCAGAAUGACUCACACUUACCAUCUAAUUUAUGCCUCUCUCAGUUCUCUUUGGCUUACAGCCUUAUGGUGGAUUUAUUAGAAGGAACAGGGAAGGAAUUGGUUUCAUCCUAAUUCUGGCCUCUCCUGAAAAGCUCUUCUCUCCAAGACUCCUCAGGAGCAUCUUAGAGACCACUCGCCCUGCUUAGAACUGUGCUUGGUACAACCAGACUGGGUCUCCUGCAGGGUUUGCUGUGGCUUUGGCAGGGGCCAGCUCCCAGGGAAGUUCUGGAGCUCCAGGCUGGAGCUGGGGGGCAAGGGGGAGAGCUGGUUAAUGCAGUGGAGCCCAGGGGCUUCAGGAAAGACACCUAUGAUAUAGGUGUGAAUGAAUUUCUGAAUGAGCUUCUGUGGGUUAACCUGGUAAGACUCUGCAGGGAGAAGGUCAGCCUUCCCUCUGCCACUCUACAUGUAAGUCAUGAGUUGCAAGAAAAAAUGGGAAACGUCAAUUGCUGUGCCAAAAUGAAGGGACUGGGUAUAAAUACUGAACCAGUUUUAAUGUUAAAUUUAUGAAAUGGAAAACUUUUCUAGGGAACCAGCUCAGGGAACAUUUAUUAGGAUUGAUGAGCUAACUAUUUCAUCAGUGCUACUGGGAUGCGCACUUUAAAGGAGAACUUAGAAUUGUUUCAGGCUAAUGGAAGGUCUAGCCCACUAUAGGUGAAUGUGAAAACUGCCUGGCAAACCCUAACUCUGCUGCUUACUAGAUGUGUGGCUGCAGGCAGGUUUUCUAAUCUUUUUACUUCUCUUUAUUCCUCAUUUUUCUUGUCUGUUAAAUGGGGAUGAUAACAGUACCUAGCUCACUGCACUGUUACUAGAUUAGGAGUGAAUACCUAUCAAGGGCCUUGCAUAGAGGCAGCAAAUAUUAGUUGUUGUUACUAGAUCAGGUUGCUGGAGGGGAGGAAGCAAAAACAGCCAUCUCCUUUUAAGUUUUUGUAAGGUGGAGUGUUACAGUGUGGCUCUAGCAACACAGGAAAACUGGUCUUUGGGCAGGGGACAGUGUUACAGGUAAAACCAGGUAGGUCUGAAUGUUUUCAAGUGAGCCAAAAUAACCUGCCACGUUCAUUCUUUGGUUGAUCUUCUCUGCCAAAUUUCUAACCAAAGACUCUUACUUUUAGGUUUUAUUUUUCUUUUACACUAGGAAGGAGGAGGUGUGUAAAGCCUGGCUUAAAUGGUCUUUUCUAACCCAUUUGGUUUCAGCUAGUGACAAAAAAGGGGGGUUGCAGAACUUGAAGUGAGUUGGGUCUGGAAUUUCUUGAUGAAGCCUGACAGAAUGUAAUUUUCUGGGAGACAUAAAAACAUCAAAUGUGAGAGGUGCACAAAAAGUAAAGGUGAUUUUACAUAAUAGCAUGCUGCAGUGGGAACCACCCCAUAGCCACUAGGAUUCUCUAAGAAGCAUCUUUCAAGGCGAAAAUGAAUAACCUAGAAAUGACAAGGUUUUGUUUUUGAAAAAAGAAGAGGGGUGGAGAGACAGGAGACUGUUGGUGAUUUCGAUUUUUUUUGGUUAAGAAACAUGGAAAACAAGAUUUUCCAUAGAAGGGUGUAUAAAAGGCUCUCACCAAGUAGGAGUCCAAAUGUGUGUGGCACACCCCUGGUGAGCUUCUCAGAGGAAGAAGAGGAGACAGUCCCAGAGUGAAGUGUUUUUGUAUUGGGCAGAAACACUGUGUCAACUACUGGGGCAAACCGGCUUGUCUUUGGAACGGGAACAAGACUCACCAUCAUUCCCCGUAAGUCCUUUGCCACUUGAGAAAAAGCUCUUAAUCUAUAAUGGCCAGCUCUCACCUCCCAGACACCUAAUGAAUUUCUAAAUGAGUUCCUGUGUAUUAACCUGAUAAGACUCUCCAAGGAGAAGGUCACCCUUCUCUCUGCAGCUCUAAAUGUAAGUC